GAUCGUGGCAACACAAAGUGCUAGCUCUAUUACUGAAUACUAACCAGGCCCAACGUUGCAUAACUUGCCAGAUCGGACGGGAUGGCAAAGGACCGGUACAGAAAUGUACCU
rnacentral:rRNA from 1 species